GGAUAACUACCCUUUAGGACCGGGAUAACUUUGGGAAACUGAGGCUAAUACCGGAUAGGCAAUUUUUCCUGUAAUGGUUUUUUGUUUAAAUGUUUUUUCGCCUAAGGAUGGGUCUGCGGCCGAUUAGGUAGUUGGUUAGGUAAUGGCUUACCAAGCCGUUGAUCGGUACGGGUUGUGAGAGCAAGAGCCCGGAGAUGGAACCUGAGACAAGGUUCCAGGCCCUACGGGGUGCAGCAGGCGCGAAACCUCCGCAAUGUGAGAAAUCGCGACGGGGGGAUCCCAAGUGCCAUUCUUAACGGGAUGGCUUUUCAUUAGUGUAAAGAGCUUUUGGAAUAAGAGCUGGGCAAGACCGGUGCCAGCCGCCGCGGUAACACCGGCAGCUCUAGUGGUAACAAUUUUUAUUGGGCCUAAAGCGUCCGUAGCCGGUUUAAUAAGUCUCUGGUGAAAUCCUGUAGCUUAACUGUGGGAAUUGCUGGAGAUACUAUUAGACUUGAGACCGGGAGAGGUUGGAGGUACUCCCAGGGUAGAGGUGAAAUUCUGUAAUCCUGGGAGGACCGCCUGUUGCGAAGGCGUCUAACUGGAACGGUUCUGACGGUGAGGGACGAAAGUUAGGGGCGCGAACCGGAUUAGAUACCCGGGUAGUCCUAACUGUAAACGAUGCGGACUUGGUGUUGGGGUGGCUUUGAGCUGCUCCAGUGCCGAAGGGAAGCUGUUAAGUCCGCCGCCUGGGAAGUACGGUCGCAAGACUGAAACUUAA
rnacentral:rRNA from 1 species